rnacentral:rRNA from 1 species
UAGGGAAUAUUGCACAAUGGAGGAAACUCUGAUGCAGCGACGCCGCGUGAGUGAUGAAGGACUUCGGUUCGUAAAGCUCUGUCGUAUGGGAAUAAGAAAGUGAAUGUACCAUGCAAGAAAGGAUCGGCUAACUUCGUGCCAGCAGCCGCGGUAAGACGAGGGAUCCUAGCGUUGUUCGGAAUCAUUGGGCGUAAAGCGGAUGUAGGUGGCUUUGUAAGUCAGGUGUGAAAGCCCCGGGCUCAACCCGGGAAGUGCAUUUGAUACUGCGAAGCUUGAGUGCUGGAGAGGUAAGUAGAAUUCCUGGUGUAGUGGUGAAAUACGUAGAUAUCAGGAGGAAUACCGGAGGCGAAGGCGGCUUACCAGCCAGACACUGACACUCAGAUCCGAAAGUGUGGGGAUCAAACA